AACCUGGUUGAUCCUGCCAGUAGUCAUAGGCUUGUCUCAAAGACUAAGCCAUGCAUGUCUAAGUAUAAAUGGUAUACAGUAAAACUGCGAAUGGCUCAUUAAAACAGUUAUAGUUUAUUUGGUAAUCGAAUUUACAUGGAUAACCGUGGUAAUUCUAGAGCUAAUACAUGCUGUAAAGCCCGACUUCUCGGAAGGGCCGUGUUUAUUAGAUAACAGACCAACAGCUUCGGCUAUUGUGGUGAAUCAUAGUAACUAAUCGGAUCGCAUGGGCUAGUCCCGCGACAAACCAUUCAAGUUCCUGCCCCAUCAGCUUUCGACGGUAGUGUAUUGGACUACCGUGGCUUUUACGGGUAACGGAGGAUUAGGGUUCGAUUCCGGAGAGGGAGCCUGAGAAACGGCUACCACAUCUAAGG
rnacentral:rRNA from 1 species